rnacentral:rRNA from 1 species
AGCGGAUCUCUUAAAGACUGUUCUCAGUUCGGACUGCAGUCUGCAACUCGACUGCACGAAGCUGGAAUCGCUAGUAAUCGCGGAUCAGCACGCCGCGGUGAAUACGUUCCCGGGCCUUGUACACACCGCCCGUCACACCAUGGAAGUCUGCAAUGCCCGAAGCCGGUGGCCUAACCACUUAUGUGGAAGGAGCCGUCUAAGGCAGGGCAGAUGACUGGGGUGAAGUCGUAACAAGGUAGC